UGGUGAUAUAUCGAAUUUUACGGGAUACAGGGACCGAUAUUCGAGAUACGCGCCGAAGGUGUGCCGUAGGCACCGAAAACCGCCCGCCGAAUAAAUAAUUAUUGUUUAAAUAAUUAAAAAGGAAAUUACGGUUACAACAUAAAUAGUUAACUUAAAAAAAUGAACAUACAUCAUUGGAAUAGUAAAAAUAUUGAGUGCGUUUUGGUAAGACACCGCUACCGUAGCGCUACAGCUUUUUCGCUACAAUUGUAGCGGUAAAGUUAGUAAAACUAAGUAUAACGCUACAAAUGUCGCGCUAUACUCAAUUAGCGUUAUUGUACAUAGCCUCCAAAUUGUAUGUAAUUGCUAACAGUCGCGUUUGCUAAUUAUUUUAAACAAUUUGGAUAAUGGAAAAUAUUGAAAAUUGGCUUAUAAAUGAAAUAUUGUUCGAUGAAGAUUCAUCAGAUGAAGAUAAUGAAGAGGAAGAAGUUCUAGGACUCAUUUUACAUGAACUGCGAGAACAAGAAAACGACCCUGAGGUUCUGAAUGCCCUGGAAAAUGCAGGUGAAAUAUUUCGUGAAAUUUUUUAUCCUGAAAGGCAGAAUGAUGAAAUUGUAAAUUUAAAUUAUUUUGAAGAAGUAAUACCACGUUAUAACGAUAACCAAUUUCAUUCGCAUUUUAGAAUGCAUUGAGGAACAUACAUUGAAUUGGAAAAUAUAGUGAGACCUUUAAUUAGACAGAGAGAGAAUGAUAUACCAUUAUCGAAGAAACUAUUUUUAACAUUAUGGAUUAUAGCCACGCCAGAAAGUUUUCGAUCUGUUGCAGAUAGAUUUGGCCUUUCCAAAGAUAUAGUUUGAAAAACUUUUAAAGAGGUGGUUUGGGCACUAAAAAGAAUGAUGCCACAUUUUAUAAGAUGGCCAAAUAAUGCGGAAUGUGAAGAAAGUGAAAGGGUUUUUCGAAUUCGAUCAAGAGGAUUUCCAGGUGUUUGUGAUCAUACGGGGAAGUUCAUCGACUGCCUCAUCGGUCGGCCUGGACGUGCUUAUGAUGCAACAGUUUUUCGGAGUAGCGUUAUUUACGCCGGACUGACAGAUCAAGCAAAUCCACUUUUACCUCCUCAACAAUAUAUUAAAGGUGAUUCUGCAUAUCCAUUGCUUCAAAAUGUAAUGACUCCAUUUCGAGACAAUGGAAAUUUAACCCCAGAUCAGUCUACGUUUAAUACUAGACUUUUCUCGAUACGAUCGAUAAUAGAGCGUGCAUAAGGAUUGCUGAAAGGGAAGUGGCGAAGACUGAAGUAUCUUGAUGUGCAAAGUACUGAAAUGGCAAAUCAUAUUAUUGCAGCUGCAUGCACUCUUCACAAUUUUCUUAUAUUAUAUAAUGAAAUCGAAAUGAGAGAAAAUUUAAAUAUUAACGAAAAUAUUGAGCAUGAGAAUCAUGGCAGCGAUGAAAGUGAUAAUAAUGAUGAAUUUCAAGAUGACAAUAAGCGAAUGAAAAGACAAGAAAUCGCGAACAGGUUUCAAGUAUUGUAAUGCACAAUAUUUAAAAAAUCUGAAAUCGUUUUAUUCAGUUUCAUUUUGUUUUUUUUUCAGUUUUUUUUUCUGGUUUUGUCUUGUUUCAUUUUUUUUGGUUCAGUUUGUAAAGAACUUGAUGUAAUAAAUUUUUUUUGUAUCAAUCUACCAAUUAAUUA